CAGCGAGCGCGUUCUGAAAUCGAAUUUUAAAAUGAACUUUUGGUGCCUGGAGGAAAAAAUUGCAGGAAGCUAAAAAAAGAUCUGAAUGUGAUCUGUAUGAACAUAGUAGCAAGUCACGCUUCAAUAGCUUUCACAUCUGAAGAACCAGCACCUGGAUAAAGGCUCAGCAGGCUGCUUUACCCUCUGCCUGCUAAUCUGAUGUUCUGACUCACAUGUCAACCACUUAAGUAGUCCUGCUAUUCAGUUUUGGUUCAUAGCUGAUUUAUGCUCCUUGUGCAAAGUAGUGCUGGGCUGCUUGACUGAGUACUUCCAACCACCUAAAUCUUGGGGUAAUUAUUUUAAUAAAUAUGAAUUGUGGGACUCCUGCCUGGAUGUGUAAUAGAAAUCUAAUCUAUAAUACAAAUGGAAAGCAGUGCAGCUGUACUGUGUUAAUUAAGUAUACACCAAACAUAUGGCAAUACACCUCCAGACCAACAGGCACAGAACUCUCUUGGAUGCAAUUAGCUCUUGUGCAUGCAUAAAGAAUCAGCCAUAAACUCCAGAAAAAUGCAUAAGUCAUAACCUCUGGCUGAUGAAAUUACCAGUGCUGAACUACUGCACUUACACUGCAGAAAUGUUGAUCUAGUCAUUGGAAUGCUGGUGAAUCUUUUUUUAGGCAAAAGGUGUUUUUUUUUCUGUUUCUGGUGCUCUUUGCCAUACAAUUCCCACGUUAGAGCUUUCUCUCUGAGGAGCUGGAGGAGUGGUGUAGAGAAUGCAACCCAGAGGCAAUGGUGCUCCACAGCCCUGCAACUUGUGUAGUUAUUUAUGCACAAUAGAUGGAAAAAAAUUGCUUUCUUUUAUGGUCUCACUCACAUCCUUGGUGUGUAUUUGCAUUAAGAUGCAUGAAGUUCAGUACAACAGAAUUUUCACCCAGUCAGUAAAUAACAUAAGCAGGUGAUAGCAGCUACUCAGGCACAUCACGUAACAUCGGUCACUGUUUGAGCUGGAGCUGCCUGGGUGCCCUGGCUGUGUUCUCAUGGACGCUGUGCAAAACCACGUGUGAUGAGAAGCUGCCCCUGCUGAUGCUAAGUGGUGACAUCACAGUGGUGACAACACCUCGCAGUGCAGCUCGAAGUGCAGCCUCAGAGAGGUUAGGAUCGCAGUGCAAUGCAAGAGACAACAGACUCAUAGGAUAUAAGCUUUUUUGUACUGGGCUCUCAGUGAAGCAUGGUGCCCAAAUGGCCAUCACUACCUGUCCCCACCAAGAGAAGCCAGACACGUAUGGAUUUGGAGUGGCUUGACUCGAAUUCAGGACUUCACCACAAAUCUUUAAAUCUGAAGUUUCUGCACUAAAUUCACCCAGUUCCAAACGGAUGCAGCUCUUCUGACUCUCAUCAAACGGUGUGAAUCUCAUUCCUGCACUGAAUCGCAGCCUCUUCUUUUGACACAGACACUCUCAGUAAAAAACAAAGUGAGAAC